AUGAACGCUGGCGGCGUGCUUAACACAUGCAAGUCGGACGGAAAGGCCCAAGCUUGCUUGGGUACUCGAGUGGCGAACGGGUGAGUAACACGUGGGUGAUCUGCCCCGCACUUCGGGAUAAGCCUGGGAAACUGGGUCUAAUACCGGAUAGGACCACUUCUUGGAGGUUGUGGUGGAAAGUUUUUUCGGUGUGGGAUGAGCUCGCGGCCUAUCAGCUUGUUGGUGGGGUAAUGGCCUACCAAGGCGUCGACGGGUAGCCGGCCUGAGAGGGUGUACGGCCACAUUGGGACUGAGAUACGGCCCAGACUCCUACGGGAGGCAGCAGUGGGGAAUAUUGCACAAUGGGCGCAAGCCUGAUGCAGCGACGCCGCGUGGGGGAUGACGGCCUUCGGGUUGUAAACUCCUUUCGCUAGGGACGAAGCGCAAGUGACGGUACCUAGAGAAGAAGCACCGGCUAACUACGUG
rnacentral:rRNA from 1 species